rnacentral:rRNA from 1 species
GGUUAAGCGACUAAGCGUACACGGUGGAUGCCCUGGCAGUCAGAGGCGAUGAAGGACGUGCUAAUCUGCGAUAAGCGUCGGUAAGGUGAUAUGAACCGUUAUAACCGGCGAUUUCCGAAUGGGGAAACCCAGUGUGAUUCGUCACACUAUCAUUAACUGAAUCCAUAGGUUAAUGAGGCGAACCGGGGGAACUGAAACAUCUAAGUACCCCGAGGAAAAGAAAUCAACCGAGAUUCCCCCAGUAGCGGCGAGCGAACGGGGAGCAGCCCAGAGCCUGAAUCAGUGUGUGUGUUAGUGGAAGCGUCUGGAAAGGCGCGCGAUACAGGGUGACAGCCCCGUACACAAAAAUGCACAUACUGUGAGCUCGAUGAGUAGGGCGGGACACGUGGUAUCCUGUCUGAAUAUGGGGGGACCAUCCUCCAAGGCUAAAUACUCCUGACUGACCGAUAGUGAACCAGUACCGUGAGGGAAAGGCGAAAAGAACCCCGGCGAGGGGAGUGAAAAAGAACCUGAAACCGUGUACGUACAAGCAGUGGGAGCACAGAGCAAUCUGUGUGACUGCGUACCUUUUGUAUAAUGGGUCAGCGACUUAUAUUCUGUAGCAAGGUUAACCGAAUAGGGGAGCCGAAGGGAAACCGAGUCUUAACUGGGCGUUAAGUUGCAGGGUAUAGACCCGAAACCCGGUGAUCUAGCCAUGGGCAGGUUGAAGGUUGGGUAACACUAACUGGAGGACCGAACCGA